rnacentral:rRNA from 1 species
UACGUAGGGGGCAAGCGUUGUCCGGAAUCAUUGGGCGUAAAGCGCGUGUAGGCGGCCCGGUAAGUCCGCUGUGAAAGUCGGGGGCUCAACCCUCGGAUGCCGGUGGAUACUGUCGGGCUAGAGUGCGGAAGGGGCGAGUAGAAUUCCUGGUGUAGCGGUGAAAUGCGCAGAUAUCAGGAGGAACACCGAUGGCGAAGGCAGGUCUCUGGGCUGUAACUGACGCUGAGGAGCGAAAGCAUGGGGAGCGAACAGG